CAUUUGUACACGCUCUCUACCUUCACGCCUUUGCUGCCAGGGUGCGUUUGAGACAGUUAGUUGCUAAGUAAAAAAAUGCCAAUUCGGCUGGAUUGAACUCUAAAUAUUAUUUAUUUAUUUAUUUAAUUCAUAUUGUUUCGGUAAUGAAUUUGGUAAUGUUUACAUGAUUCUUCUCAACUCAAUGUCGGAAACCAACAUGUGACUUACCAAUUUAACGAUAUCAACCCUUUUUAUUUACUUCAUCAGCAGGUCCUUAAAAUGUAUACUAUUUCGAUCUAAUUUACCUCGUCACACUGCUGUGGCCGUUCAAUUAGUGGGGCACAAGACAUAUCAAAAAAAUAAAUAAAUAAAUGAGAAAGAAAGGAUUCGAAAAGAAAAUUAAAAAAAAAAAAAGACUUUCUUUUUCAUUGUCAUCUGCUCUGCCACUAAGGAGUCCAAGCAGUUUUCUUCAGGAUCCUACAUAGAAAACCAUACUUUUUGAAUUCUGAUUAAAACAACCCAAUUUUCACUUCAUCCUCUGCUAUACCAUGCUGCCGCUCAAAGGUUUGUCGCGCUAAGUCUGUUAACAUUUACAAAGUCCAAUUAACCGAGGUAGCAUUUACCGAGUCGUUAUUUACAAACGGGGAUGAAUAAGUAGUAAUUAGACUGGCGUCAUGUAGUAUGAACAUUCGCAAGUGAACUAGGACGAAAGAUAAGGUAUGCGACCGAUACCUAUCUACUUGAGGUUCUGUAAGUUAACUGCGCUCAAAUUUCUUGAUACACCGUUAAUGAAUAUCUGAUAUCUUGAUAUUUUUAUUUUACAAUGGCUUGUGAAGAUAUGCUAUUUUAACAACUGCAAUGGUUUCGUUCUCUAGACCCGGAUCUAAUAACCGAUUAUCUGGCAAUGUGCACCAUCGGCAUUUGGUAAUAUAGGUUGGCAAUUAAGAAUGGAGUGAUAAUGAGUUUGAGGCGUUUGAAUGCUAUUUUUUGAAGAAAAUAUGAUUUCGGAAAAUGGAAUUAAAUAUGCAUAUCAUUUAAUAUAAUUUUAUUAGCAAGUUG